GGAAACAUUUUAGUACAUAUACUAAAAUUGGAAAAAUAUAGAGAAAAUUAGUAUGGUCCUUGUGCAAGGGCAAUACACAAACUCAAGAAGCAGUCCAUUAAAAA